UACGUAGGUGGCAAACGUUGUCCGGAUUUACUGGGCGUAAAGGAUGCGUAGGCGGACAUUUAAGUCAGAUGUGAAAUACCCGAGCUUAACUUGGGUGCUGCAUUUGAAACUGGGUGUCUAGAGUGCAGGAGAGGUAAGUGGAAUUCCUAGUGUAGCGGUGAAAUGCGUAGAGAUUAGGAAGAACACCAGUGGCGAAGGCGACUUACUGGACUGUAACUGACGCUGAGGCAUGAAAGCGUGGGGAGCAAACAGG
rnacentral:rRNA from 1 species